AGCCGAUGGUCCUGGGUACGAAUCCCGGUAAGGGUAUUUAUUCGUGUGAUGAGCAUAGAUAUUUGUUCCCGAGUAAUGGGUGUUUUCUAUGUAUGUAAUAUUUAUAAAUAUGUAUAUAUAUCGUUGUCUAAGUACCCACAACACAAGCCUUAUUGAGCUUACUGUGGGACUUAGUCAAUUUGUGUAAUAAUGUCCUAUAAUAU